UACAGAGACUACGAGCGUUACUCGGAUUUACUGGGCGUAAAGGGUGCGUAGGCGGGCAAGUGUGUUAGGUGUGAAAUCCUGGGGCUUAACUCCAGAACUGCGCUUAAAACUACUUGUCUAGAGUUUUAGAGAGGUAAGCGGAAUUCCUAGUGGAGCAGUGAAAUGCACAGAUAUUAGGAGGAACACCAAUUGCGAAGGCAGCUUACUGGAUAAAUACUGACGCUGAGGCACGAAAGCGUGGGGAGCAAAAAGG
rnacentral:misc_RNA from 1 species